CAAUAAUAAAAAAUUAGACAAAAUCUCUGGGUUUCCAUUUUCUGCAUCUGGAAAAAUGAUUCUUACUUGCCUCCCAUCAUUACAAGAAUCCAUGGCACACUGUCCAGCACACAAUCAUGCUCAAUGAAUGAGAGGUUCCUUUUCUCCUUGACCAUCUGCAUCCAUUCUGGAUUCACACACAUGAGCUGAGGUCUUCAGACUGUCCAUUCCUCAGUUGUCCCUGCAUCAAGGGCUACCGCUUAUUCAUCCCGGCGUCUCCAUGAAAUCCAGCACAGUGCUGGGGAAACAACUGGGGCAGACAUGCAGUCAGAGGAAGCAAGCCUUAUCCAUCCCUGGAGGCUGACAGCACUUACAUGUUCACUCAUCUACUGCCUCUUGAGGGUGUUGACUUAGGCAUGGCCAGGGAAAGCCAUCUGCCCAUGAUUUGCACAGCAAGUUGUGUUCAGCUGGAACGAGACCCCAGUCUCCCUGACUCCUGCACUUUCUAGAGGACCUUGUGCCUGAUAGGGCAAACAGCCACCAAAUUUUGCUUAGUUCAGGAUUACCAUGUGGGUUUCAUUCCUUCCCAGACAAUUUCCAGCUCACCCAUUGGAAUCUCAACCCCAAUCUGCCUCAUUCCUCAGCAUUCCCAUCAUAAUAUAGGCCAUUGAGUUACCUCAACUUUUCCCUGCAUAAACACAUCUCUCAAGUUUGUUUGCACAGUCCCAGGCACCUAGGUACCUCCUGGGUGAGUGCUCCCGAACAGCAGAGCCAUUCUUCCCUUUCUUCAGAGGCCUUCAUUUUAUAGAAAAUUGGGCUUGAUGGCUUUGAUUGAAUGCAGUAGAAAAGAGCACAUCACACAAUGCAUGAAGAAGGUACAUUGGGUUAAACACCAGGUACUUGAACUAGGAGAAAGAAAGCUGUCUUUCCAUAUUUUAAUAUUUACCUACAGCUGAAAACAGUGGUAUGGCAUCUAACAAGCUUGAGAUCUGGUUCUAGCCUUUCUCGGCAUUCCCUCUGCUGUCCUCCCAUCCACUUUCCUACAAAUGGGAGAGAGCUUCAUUCGGGAAAACAACAUGUCCUUGCACAUGACUUUCUCUUUGCCUGGAAGGGUCAUCCCUGUGUUUUCUAUCUGAAAAACUUCAUUCUUCUAUCAAAACCUACUUAGAAUCCCAUCUCUUCAAUAGAGUCUUCUGAUUUUCUACCACUGUCCUCUGUGCUAACUCCAUACUUUGUGGUUAUCUUUAAAUAUCGUCUUUGUCUCCCGAAAGGAUAAGUUUGGCUCUUUGUACUGGGCUGUUAUUUCCUAAAGUUGCUGUGGGUAAUAGCCAUGUGAGAAAAAUGUGUGUGUGUGUUUAGGGGAGAGUAUUACUCAUUAAAAAUUUGAGAAAGCUGUUAAGCUAGUUGCUUUUCUGAAAGACAGAGCUUUUCAGUGUGGAGAUACAUUGAAUCUUCAUGGAGAUUACAUUGUGUAUAUCCAUGAAGAAUGAGAGGGAAUUCAACGUUUUCUAAAACUUUUGCACAUGGCAUAGUUUUGAUGGUUCAUCCCCAAGGAUGAAUGUUCUGUAACAUAUUCAGAGGAAUUUUGCACUGUUUCAUAAGUCCUCUGAGGGAAAAUAGUGAGUCCAAUAUAUUUCUAUCUUCCCAGGACCUAGCAUUGAGCCUGAUGCUGAAUAAAUAACUCAGUCAAUGUAUAUGUAUUGAGUGGAAUAAACAGAAUCACAUUAGAUUACUCACUCUCCAACCCAAGGCUGAGCAGAGAAUCUGGAAGUGGGUAGCAGAGCAAGGCGAGCUCUUCCCUCUUUCCAAGAAUUGACUAAUUCUCAUCAGGAACAGGCAAGAUGCUCAAGCGGCCACUCUCUGCUGCAGCCCCCACACUUCUGACUCACAGCAAGCUCCCAGUGCCUCCCUCAGGAGAAAAAAAUGUGAAAUGUUUUGGCUGGAACUCAAUGGCCAAGAAUCUCACCACCUGCCAUACUUUUUUAGGGAGUGCUAUUAAUUUGACAAUAGUCCUUGUUUUUUUGUUCUCGCACAGACUGUCUGGGUUGCGGAGAAGCUGGCCUGGCAGAAGGAAGUGGGGCUUUUGCAAAUAGUUUCCAGCAUGGAUCCUGUUCUCAGCCUGGCAGCUCCCACACACUGUCUCUCAAAGUAACCCGAAGCAGAUAUGCUAAGAGACUCCAGCGUUUUCAAAUUGUUCUCUUGGCUCACAGGAUGAGCUGGAAGCCCUUGAACAUAUCACCAGGGUUGAGAUUGGCAGACAUCCCCUCAGAAGAUGCUGAGUUCUCUGUUUCACUUGGCCGGGUCACUAGGGGUACUGGCUGAAGUGGAAGCUGCUAGGCAAAAACAGUCCAAUGGCCCUGGGUUUUGGCAAAGUCUCUAGAAGGAUUUCUUAAAUGUUCUGGUUUUAGCAGAGGCCAAAUUAUCUUUCUGAAGUAUGUGCUCCCUUAAUAUCAAAACUUUCACAUUUCAUGGGAAAUUCAAACCAUAUGUUUCCGUGCUAUUUACCUUUAAUGUACUCAAAUGCCAUCUUGUAAGAGAAGUUUGAUUUCAGGAAAAAAAUUGAGUCAUCAAUAAGCCCCCUUUCCUUGAGUCACGAAUCAGUAUUUUUCUUUUUUCUUUUUUUUUUUUUUUUUUGCAAAUUCCCCCAAAUCUCCCAUGCAAAGAACUCAGGUUGGAUCCUAAGUCCUUGGACCAGACAUUUCCAGAAGGAACAUUUUAAAUUCAAUUAUGUUCUAAACUCUUCAUGCUUUCUUUCAUCCAUAUUUACAACCAUAAAUUGUAGCCACACAGUUACUAGAAGCAAAGAAGCCAAAUAGAUGUUGAAAUGAUGACGCUGGCGCUGGAGCGAUGUGAUUGUAGUCAAUGUUUUGUUUUGUUUAUUCUUGACUGAUAAAGAUCAUUUCACAGUUUAUUUUUAGUCUUGUUCAUAGAAAUGGCAUUGUUCCUUGAGUACAA
rnacentral:lncRNA from 10 species